rnacentral:lncRNA from 1 species
CACUACUAGAAAAUUGAUCAUUUGGGACGGAUUUUUGGGACGGAAUGAAUUUUGUCUGAAGCAAAAUUACACUUUCAAACAGAUUUUGGACAAAUUUCAAAUUUGUUUGAAAGGUUGAGACGGAUUUCAGACGAAAUGCAUAUUUUUGAAUAUUUUAUAUUUUUUUCACGAUUUCCGUCCCAAAUCCGUGUGAAAUAUUGGGACGGCUUUGAGACGGAUCCAUAAUUUUGUGCAUUGUUAAUGUUUUUAAUGAGUUCCGUCCGAAAUCCGUGUGAAAUGUUUAGACAGAUUUGGGACGGAUCUAUUAUAAAAAUUAAAAUGGAUUCCAUCAUAACCCUAAUUUACUUUUCUGUGUAUAUACCUUCCGUUCCGCCGCUUCAUUUUUUCCCUUUACUUUUGCUUGGCUUCUUCUCUGUAACAUAUGCCUCUGUUUGAGAUGGUUCUUCGACGUGCUGGUGACAAAGAAACGAAACCCUUCUAGUUCAAUUUGGCCCAUGUCCCUCAAGAAGAUUCCUCUCCCGUCGUUACUUUCUCCCUUCGAGGUAAGAUCCCUCCACCGUGACCAACAUCUUCGUGGUAAAAUUCUUCCCCAUUAUGAGUUAACAUUCUUUCUCCUUUCAUUGCUCCAGAAAACAUAGAGCCUCUAUGAAGAGAGAUUCACAUUUGUUGUCACAUCUCUUCAACUUGUGGUGAGUUGAAUCUGAUCUAAUUCCCCCAAAUAUGGAACCCUAAUUCAGUAAUUUGUAUUUACCCAAAUCUUUGCCUCACAUGAUACAAGAGUAUAUCUCUGAUUUGUUUUAUUUCAAUUGCAGAAAUGAAACUAAAAAGUUAAAAGUUUGCUUUCAGGUAUGAACAUCAAAGUUUAUUGUUGUUAAAAUUUAAGGUAGCGUGUAAUUUGAUAGAUAUUAAUAUCAUUGGAUCUGGCUUGUUUAGUGUGGCAGACGUUCUUGGGUGUGAUUAAUGCGGAUGCUUCUUUAAGUUUGAUGUAUUUUAUAGGGUGGUAUAUGGUCUUGGUUUUGACUUUUAUGCAGGCUGGUUUUGAGCAUGCUAGUAGUGUUCUUGAGGAUCUUGAAAUACUUCAAUUGAUACAUAAUAGAUAUUAUGGCUUUGUUUAAAUAUCAUGUCUUUAAUUAAGUUUGAUGUAUGUCUNNNNNNNNNNNNNNNNNNNNNNNNNNNNNNNNNNNNNNUUGCUAGAGUGGCGUCUUAAAUUACUUAUGCAGGCAGCAUGCUUUGAGAGUUGAGACAUAUAUCCUUCUCUAAUCUCUUUGUUGUUUCCCCUGUUUUCAUUGAAAUUUUCAUUCUAUUAAUAUUUGGUAAGGAAUUUCUUUUUGGACUUGUUUAAGUUAGCAUUUACUACUGUCUAUUUUUGAAAUGGUUUCAGAGUGUUGUAUAAACAAUAAUAACUAGAAGAAUAUGAAAGAGUUGCUUCUCUACUUGAUGAGGAGAGGAAGAGUAUGCUACUUCUAGUUGAUGAGAAGGACAAGCCUAUGUUGUUUCAAGUUGGCAAAUGUAAGUUAUGCAGGCUGGUUAUUUUCGGUAGUUAAGUUAGUUUAGGCUCUUGCUCAUAUUUCUACGAAACAAGAUUUGAAUCAAUUUAUACAUCAUGCAUCUUUUUUUUAAUGGCAAUGCAUCAUGCAUAUAUUUUUGGACUAUCUUGUAGUAGAUAUGAUUUAAUAUGAAAGAAGAAUUUAGUUAGACAUUAAAGCUUGUUGAAAGGAACUAAAACUAAGAGCUUAUUAGAUUGGUGUAUAUUGGUCAAUCUUAAUUUUUGGUUGGUUUUGUUUGAUGAAGUUAAUGUAGUUGUGUUGUGUGCUUUGCUAAUAUAUAAUUUUGAAAUGGUUUUUAGGGAUAUGCAGACUGAAGUAUGACAAUGUGCAAAGGCUACUUGAACAAGUUUUAACGUGGAUGAGGAGAAACAAGUUUUAUUGGGACACUUGCAUUUUAUCUUAUGUAAAUGUAUUUUAGUGACAAUAUUUGUAGAGCUCAUUAUUUACUUGAGCUGAAAAUAGUUGCACAUUAAUGUGAUUUUGUAACAUUUGAAUGAAAUAAUUUAUGUGUCUUGGUUUAUUUCAAAAUGCAAUUAGAAUAAAUUUCUUUUAUAA